CUCUGUGACUCCUACGGGAGGCAGCAGUGGGGAAUAUUGCACAAUGGGCGCAAGCCUGAUGCAGCCAUGCCGCGUGUGUGAAGAAGGCCUUCGGGUUGUAAAGCACUUUCAGUUGUGAGGAAGGUGGUGUCGUUAAUAGCGGCAUCAUUUGACGUUAGCAACAGAAGAAGCACCGGCUAACUCCGUGCCAGCAGCCGCGGUAAUACGGAGGGUGCGAGCGUUAAUCGGAAUUACUGGGCGUAAAGCGCAUGCAGGUGGUUUGUUAAGUCAGAUGUGAAAGCCCCGGGGCUCAACCUCGGAACUGCAUUUGAAACUGGCAGACUAGAGUACUGUAGAGGGGGUAGAAUUUCAGGUGUAGCGGUGAAAUGCGUAGAGAUCUGAAGGAAUACCGGUGGCGAAGGCGGCCCCCUGGACAGAUACUGACACUCAGAUGCGAAAGCGUGGGGAGCAAACAGGAUUAGAUACCCUUGUAG
rnacentral:rRNA from 1 species